GAACUGAAGAGUUUGAUCAUGGCUCAGAUUGAACGCUGGCGGCAGGCCUAACACAUGCAAGUCGAGCGGAUGAAGGGAGCUUGCUCCUGGAUUCAGCGGCGGACGGGUGAGUAAUGCCUAGGAAUCUGCCUGGUAGUGGGGGAUAACGUCCGGAAACGGGCGCUAAUACCGCAUACGUCCUGAGGGAGAAAGUGGGGGAUCUUCGGACCUCACGCUAUCAGAUGAGCCUAGGUCGGAUUAGCUAGUUGGUGGGGUAAAGGCCUACCAAGGCGACGAUCCGUAACUGGUCUGAGAGGAUGAUCAGUCACACUGGAACCUGCCUCUGAUACACAU
rnacentral:rRNA from 1 species